AUUGAACGCUGGCGGCAUGCUUUACACAUGCAAGUCGAACGGUAACAGGUUAAGCUGACGAGUGGCGAACGGGUGAGUAAUGCAUCGGAACGUGCCCGAUCGUGGGGGAUAACGCAGCGAAAGCUGCGCUAAUACCGCAUACGAUCUGAGGAUGAAAGCGGGGGACCGUAAGGCCUCGCGCGAUCGGAGCGGCCGAUGUCAGAUUAGGUAGUUGGUUGGGUAAAGGCCCACCAAGCCGACGAUCUGUAGCUGGUCUGAGAGGACGACCAGCCACACUGGGACUGAGACACGGCCCAGACUCCUACGGGAGGCAGCAGUGGGGAAUUUUGGACAAUGGGCGAAAGCCUGAUCCAGCAAUGCCGCGUGCAGGAAGAAGGCCUUCGGGUUGUAAACUGCUUUUGUACGGAGCGAAAAGGUCCUUUCUAAUACAAGGGGCUCAUGACGGUACCGUAAGAAUAAGCACCGGCUAACUACGUGCCAGCAGCCGCGGUAAUAC
rnacentral:rRNA from 1 species